rnacentral:rRNA from 1 species
AGCGAACGCUGGCGGCAGGCUUAACACAUGCAAGUCGAGCGGGCACUUUCGGGUGUCAGCGGCGGACGGGUGAGUAACGCGUGGGAACGUGCCCUCUGGUUCGGAAUAACUCAGGGAAACUUGAGCUAAUACCGGAUACGCCCUUUUGGGGAAAGGCUUGCUGCCGGAGGAUCGGCCCGCGUCUGAUUAGCUAGUUGGUGAGGUAACGGCUCACCAAGGCGACGACCAGUAGCUGGUCUGAGAGGAUGAUCAGCCACACUGGGACUGAGACACGGCCCAGACUCCUACGGGAGGCAGCAGUGGGGAAUAUUGGACAAUGGGCGCAAGCCUGAUCCAGCCAUGCCGCGUGAGUGAUGAAGGCCUUAGGGUUGUAAAGCUCUUUUAUCCGGGACGAUAAUGACGGUACCGGAGGAAUAAGCCCCGGCUAACUUCGUG